CAGUCGCCGCGGUAACACGUAGGGGGCAAGCGUUAUCCGGAAUUACUGGGUGUAAAGGGAGCGUAGACGGUUAAACAAGUCUGAAGUGAAAUGCCGGGGCUCAACCCCGGAGCUGCUUUGGGAACUGUAGAACUGGAGUGUCGGAGGGGUAAGCGGAAUUCCCAGUGCAGCGGUGAAAUGCGUAGGUAUUGGGAGGAACACCGGCGGCGAAGGCGGCUUACUGGACGACAACUGACGUUGAGGCUCGAAGGCGUGGGUAGCAAACAGGAUUAGAUACCCCCGUAGUCCCUGUCUCUUAUAC
rnacentral:rRNA from 1 species